rnacentral:rRNA from 1 species
CUUGACAACGGAUAUCUCGGCUCUCGCAUCAAUGAAGAACGUAGUGAAAUGCGAUACUUGGUGUUAAUUGCAGAAUCUCGUGAACCAUUGAGUAUUUGAACGCAAGUUGCGCCC